rnacentral:tRNA from 1 species
GGGCAUGCAGCUUAGUGAUAGAGCAUGUGCUUAGCGUGCACAAGGCCCUGGGUUGAAUCCCCCGCACCCA